UACGGGGGGAGCAAGCGUUGUUCGGAAUUACUGGGCGUAAAGGGCUCGUAGGUGGCCAACUAAGUCAGACGUGAAAUCCCUCGGCUUAACCGGGGAACUGCGUCUGAUACUGGAUGGCUUGAGUGUGGGAGAGGGAUGCGGAAUUCCAGGUGUAGCGGUGAAAUGCGCAGAUAUCGGGAAGAACACCCGUGGCUAAGGCGGCUCUCUAGUACGGUACUGACGCUGAGACGCGAAAGCGUGGGGAGCGAACAGG
rnacentral:rRNA from 1 species